rnacentral:rRNA from 1 species
GGGCCCGCACAAGCGGUGGAGCAUGUGGUUUAAUUCGAUGCAACGCGAAGAACCUUACCAGGACUUGACAUACUACGAAUCCUUUUGAGAAAAAGGAGUGCCUUCGGGAAUGUAGAUACAGGUGGUGCAUGGCUGUCGUCAGCUCGUGUCGUGAGAUGUUGGGUUAAGUCCCGCAACGAGCGCAACCCUUAUUUUUAGUUACCAAUUCGUUGGGUUCUCUAGAAAGACUGCCGGUGACAAACCGGAGGAAGGUGAGGAUGACGUCAAGUCAGCAUGCCCCUUAUGUCCUGGGCUACACACGUGCUACAAUGGUUAAGACAAAGAGUCGCGAGCUUGCAAAAGUCAGCUAAUCUCAUAAACUUAGCCUAAGUUCAGAUUGUAGGCUGCAACUCGCCUACGUGAAGGCGGAAUC